rnacentral:rRNA from 1 species
CCUACGGGAGGCAGCAGUGAGGAAUAUUGGUCAAUGGUCGGGAGACUGAACCAGCCAAGCCGCGUGAGGGAUGAAGGUACAGAGUAUCGUAAACCUCUUUUGUCAGGGAACAAAGGCGGGGACGUGUCCCCGGAUGAGUGUACCUGAAGAAAAAGCAUCGGCUAACUCCGUGCCAGCAGCCGCGGUAAUCCGGAGGAUGCGAGCGUUCUCCGGAUUUAUUGGGUUUCAAGGGUGCGCAGGCGGUCUGUUAAGUCAGCGGUAAAAGCCCGGGGGUAAACCCCGGCACGCCGUUGAAACUGGCAGUCGCGAGUUGGAUAGAGGUAUGCGGAAUGCGCGGUGUAGCGGUGAAAUGCAUAGAUAUCGCGCAGAACUCCGAUUGCGAAGGCAGCAGGCCGGCUCCACACUGACGCUGAGGCACGAAAGCGUGGGUAUCGAACAGGAUUAGAUACCCGAGUAGUC